rnacentral:piRNA from 1 species
GUGGGGCUGCUCUCACCUGAGGAGUGAGA